rnacentral:rRNA from 1 species
UUGAUCCCUGGCUCAGGACGAACGCUGGCGGCGUGCCUAAUACAUGCAAGUCGAGCGAAUCGACGGGAGCUUGCUCCCUGAGAUUAGCGGCGGACGGGUGAGUAACACGUGGGCAACCUGCCUAUAAGACUGGGAUAACUUCGGGAAACCGGAGCUAAUACCGGAUACGUUCUUUUCUCGCAUGAGAGAAGAUGGAAAGACGGUUUACGCUGUCACUUAUAGAUGGGCCCGCGGCGCAUUAGCUAGUUGGUGAGGUAAUGGCUCACCAAGGCGACGAUGCGUAGCCGACCUGAGAGGGUGAUCGGCCACACUGGGACUGAGACACGGCCCAGACUCCUACGGGAGGCAGCAGUAGGGAAUCUUCCGCAAUGGACGAAAGUCUGACGGAGCAACGCCGCGUGAACGAAGAAGGCCUUCGGGUCGUAAAGUUCUGUUGUUAGGGAAGAACAAGUACCAGAGUAACUGCUGGUACCUUGACGGUACCUAACCAGAAAGCCACGGCUAA